CUCCCUCCGCCCGCGGGUCGCCCGCUCCCUCGCGCCCCUGUUGCUCCCUCCUCGAUCCCGAUCUGGAUCGAGGGGACGAGGAGCUCCUGCCUCCCCGACGGCCGACCUCCUCCUCGCCCCGCCGAUGCGUCCGGCGCCGCCACGGCCUCUGGAGCCAGGGAAGCCAUGGCCUGAUCUCGGCCUCGAGGUCCCCGCCGCCGUCUCCUGCAGCUUCUGCCCCGCCGCCUCACCGCCCGAGCUCGCCGUCGCACCAACCUCGGCGCCGCGCCGCCGCCGGCUCUGGUCGCCUCCACCUCCGCGCCGUGAGGAACCCGCCACACGCGUCAAGGCGAGGCGCCUCCUGGGCUCCGUCCGGUUCCAGAGCGAGCGCCCGCGAAUACCUAGCUAGCCGCCGCCGUCGUGACCGUUCCAGCCACCGCCAAGGCCACACUUCCUCUUCCACCUCCGCGUACUCCUGGUUGCAGCCCCAGCUCUUCACGGGCAGGGAGAGAAGGGGGGCAUGAUCGGCGGGGCAGAGUUCUUUCGGAAGGACAGCGUGGUGGGCAACAUGGACGGAUACCUCAGCUACCUGUCCCUCGAGUAUGACUUCGUCUCGGACACCAAUCCUGCUUGGGUAUCUUCAUUUUGGAAGCAGGAAUCCUUUCCUCAUAAGAUGGAUGAGCUGUAGUAUUAGGAAUUCAUGCCUUCCAGCUCUAAUUUUUUCGCAUUGUUGGUGUAUGCUGGGAGUCACAUUAUUAUGCUGCUAGCAAACAGUAGGAUUGGAAGUCUUACUCUGUAGGUUAGUAAUAUCUUUUCCACUAUACCGAGGUUCAGCAAUUUAAUUCGUAUUAAGGUCACACAAGCAGUUUGGUUUUCAGAUUUGUCUUGACAAACAUAUUUGGUUCAGCAAUUUAAUUCAUAUUAAAGUCACACAAGCAGUUUGGUUUUUAGAUUUGUCUUGACAAACAUAUUUUGCAGAUUAUCCUCACAUAUGAAAUUGAUUUCUGCAAGUUCCUUUCACUUCUUAUUUAUUUCUUCACUUGGUUAUGAUGUACUGCUAUUCGUUUUCAUGAUGAUUCAUGCGUUUUGUAGUUUUCACUGACAGAAUCUUGUCUUGAAACAAGAUUGGUUCCCAUUGUUACAGUGAAGUAGCUACCAAGCAGCGAGGCCAUCGAGUGACACGAGACCGCGGGACGGCGUGAGAAGAAGCAGGGGGUGUCUGGCGGGAUGGAGAAGACCACAGGGAAGUGUGGCGAUGGAGUGCAAUCCCGAAGAAGAAGAACAUUGCAAAGAAAGACCCUGGCCAAGUGCCACCCAAUUCUCUUUCACCGACCCAUCUAAUGGCCAUCAAUUCAAUUGGUCCAAGCUGUUGUGUUGACCUUCCCAUUGAUCCACUACAUCCUCGCUCAGCUGGUUCUGCUAUGUUUCUUCUCCAUGGCAUUGCUGGUUGCCGGCGUGCCUGACAUCGCGCCUUAUGUGACGUGACAUGAUGCUCCUCUACGUGUUCUUCUCACCCCGGUUUCCAUGAGGAGAGAUGUUGUUCUGUGGUUCUGUAGUUCUACUCCAUAGCAAUGAUGGAGUCGCCUCCAUAUGGAUAGCAAUUAUCUCGGGAUCAUGAGAGCUGUCUACGCAACGGCCAGGGGGCAUAUGCUUCUCCUAGCACUAAGACCUCCAUCCUAUUUGAGCCAGAAUGGCUUUGGUGCCCUCUCUCGCUCAUGGUGAGGCCGUGCAUGCUUGCCAUGUUGUGGCUACGAAAUCUCAGACUGAGUCGCUUCGGUCGGGCACUAUUCAGGGGAAUAUUUGUUCAGAAUCUUCAGUCUUGUAAUUUUCUCCUUGAUGACAAUGACCAUGCUGUGCUGGGGGAUUUGGGAUUCCAUCCUUGCUGUUUGGACUUCCGCUGCCAAAUCCAGAUCUUAUCCAAAGACUUGGGACUCCAAAUUACAUGCCCCAGAACAUUGGCGACCAAACAUCAGAGGCCCAAUUAGUUACGAGACUGACUCAUUGGGGUUUCGCUUGGAGCUUUCUUGAGAUGUUCAGUGGCGUUCAGACUUGGUGUGCCAAAUCACCAGAUGAGAUUUAUCAGUCAGUUGUCCUGAAGAAAGAGAAACCGAUGUUCCUGUACAAUUUACCUACGGAGGUCGCUAAUGUCCUCUCUGGCUGCUAUGAGUAUGAAUUUCGGGAUCACUCCUUGAUGUUAGAUAUCUUACAGUCAUUUGAAAUGUAACAUGCUAAAACUCUGUUUCUGCUUCUGCCUUGUUAACUUACAUAAUUUGGUUAAACUGCCAUGGAUGGGUGAUUUUACCAUAUUUCAUUUUCAUAUUUGCUUAUAUUAUAUUGUACAAACUACUAAGCAUUAUUGAAGUUUGUCACAUGAAAGCAUGGAACUGCUUUCUUAGCUGUGUCGUUUAUAGUCAUAUAUGGUCAAUGCAGGUUUAUUUUCCUCCAGAGUUUACUUUUACUAUGUCCUGGUACUGGUUUUCUCUGCAGGUUUCUCUACAUUAGCUUUGUGUAUUCAAAUUUUUUGUUCCUGACAAGAAGUGCAUUGCACAUGCACACUUAUAUGAACAAGCCUUACAUGAUUUGCUCUUUUACUGAUGGACUGAGGAGGUCAGAGAUGUAUAACAGCCGUAUUGAUCCAAAUGACAAGUACGGCAGUGCUAACCUGCUUACCUAGAAUUUUACCACAUCCUAAGACUUGCAAAUCUGUAUAAUAGGAAUGGCUAGCUGUUUUCUGGUCUACAACCGUGACAUCUGGUGGCAUCUCUCACCAUGUCUGCACAUAGUGUUUAGUCAUGAUUCUUGCAUACUGUCGAGACUCGAGAAGGGCGUGACAUUUUUUCCUGAACUGAUUUCUAAUUUUUUUUGCUUACCGGUUGAGCUCGGUUUCAACUCUUACCUGAGUAGUUGAUAGGAAAGCCUGAUGCAGGUGUAUGGAAAUUAUGCAAUUCCAUGAGGUUUGGAGUUGUCCAGUAUACUACUGAGGCCUACAUAUUUUGCUGAUGCAGGUUGGAGGUGACACAUGAACGCUGGCAACGCAAAAUAGCAGAUAUAAAAUAACUGCAGCUCAGGCCAUGUAGUUCUACAACAACCAAGGAAGAAAGGUGCGUGUACUGAGGACGCCCAUGAUUUAGGGCCAAAAAUCUAGACAAAGUGACAAAACUUUGUACGAGACUUACUUGAAGCCAAGGAGGUCAGGGGAGGAGGACAACAAGGCUGGGGAGCGGAGGCGGAGACCGACGGGGAAGAGAAUGAUCAAGCAUGUAAAUCUAGAGCACAAGCUCGUGAUUUAUCAAGGGAGUGGUGCUGCCGCCGGAUUAGAAAAUCAUAUCUCACGUUAAGGUGUUUUUGUCUUUUGUUUCUGUACAAAUUUGGUGCAGGCAAGUUUUUGAUGAUAUAUAUAAGAUGACUAGCAUUAUCUUUUUAUUGAGUGCAUGUUCUGGUAGCAUUAUCUACUUAGAAAAAAUUGCUAUAUGCGUGUAGUGAAUAAUAUCUGUAGGCGGUUUCCCACCUUGUCCCUUGCUAACUGUCAUGCCGGUGUUGAAAACUGGCUCACUUA